UACGUAGGGUGCGAGGGUUGUCCGGAAUUACUGGGCGUAAAGAGCUCGUAGGUGGUUUGUCGCGUUGUCCGUGAAAACUCACAACUCAAUUGUGGGCGUGCGGGCGAUACGGGCAGACUGGAGUACUGCAGGGGAGACUGGAAUUCCUGGUGUAGCGGUGAAAUGCGCAGAUAUCAGGAGGAACACCGGUGGCGAAGGCGGGUCUCUGGGCCGAUACUGACGCUGAGGAGCGAAAGCGUGGGGAGCGAACAGG
rnacentral:rRNA from 1 species